rnacentral:rRNA from 1 species
AGUGAACGCUGGCGGUAGGCCUAACACAUGCAAGUCGAACGGCAGCACAGUAAGAGCUUGCUCUUACGGGUGGCGAGUGGCGGACGGGUGAGGAAUACAUCGGAAUCUACUUUUUCGUGGGGGAUAACGUAGGGAAACUUACGCUAAUACCGCAUACGACCUACGGGUGAAAGCAGGGGAUCUUCGGACCUUGCGCGAUUGAAUGAGCCGAUGUCGGAUUAGCUAGUUGGCGGGGUAAAGGCCCACCAAGGCGACGAUCCGUAGCUGGUCUGAGAGGAUGAUCAGCCACACUGGAACUGAGACACGGGCCAGACUCCUACGGGAGGCAGCAGUGGGGAAUAUUGGACAAUGGGGGCAAGCCUGAUCCAGCCAUACCGCGUGGGUGAAGAAGGCCUUCGGGUUGUAAAGCCCUUUUGUUGGGAAAGAAAAGCAGCAGGUUAAUACCCCGCUGUUCGGACGGUACCCAAAGAAUAAGCACCGGCUAACUUCGU